UAAGGAAUAUUGGACAAUGGAGGCAACUCUGAUCCAGCCAUCCCGCGUGCAGGAUGAAUGCCCUAUGGGUUGUAAACUGCUUUUGUGAGGGAAGAACCGCCUUAAUUAUUUAGGGUUUGACGGUACCUUACGAAUAAGCACCGGCUAACUCCGUGCCAGCAGCCGCGGUAAUACGGAGGGUGCAAGCGUUAUCCGGAAUCACUGGGUUUAAAGGGUGCGUAGGCGGCCUGUUAAGUCAGGGGUGAAAGGUCACGGCUCAACCGUGGAAUUGCCUUUGAUACUGACGGGCUUGAAUCAGGAUGAGGUCGGCGGAAUGUGGCAUGUAGCGGUGAAAUGCAUAGAUAUGCCAUAGAACACCAAUUGCGAAGGCAGCUGGCUAGACCUUGAUUGACGCUGAGGCACGAAAGCGUGGGGAGCGGAACAGGAUUAGAUACCCUGGUAGUCCACGCCCUAAACGAUGUUUACUCGACGUACGGUCGAAUGA
rnacentral:rRNA from 1 species